AGUGAACGCUGGCGGUAGGCCUAACACAUGCAAGUCGAACGGCAGCACAGUAGGAGCUUGCUCUUACGGGUGGCGAGUGGCGGACGGGUGAGGAAUACAUCGGAAUCUACUUUUUCGUGGGGGAUAACGUAGGGAAACUUACGCUAAUACCGCAUACGACCUACGGGUGAAAGCAGGGGAUCUUCGGACCUUGCGCGAUUGAAUGAGCCGAUGUCGGAUUAGCUAGUUGGCGGGGUAAAGGCCCACCAAGGCGACGAUCCGUAGCUGGUCUGAGAGGAUGAUCAGCCACACUGGAACUGAGACACGGUCCAGACUCCUACGGGAGGCAGCAGUGGGGAAUAUUGGACAAUGGGCGCAAGCCUGAUCCAGCCAUACCGCGUGGGUGAAGAAGGCCUUCGGGUUGUAAAGCCCUUUUGUUGGGAGAGAAAAGCAGCAGGUUAAUACCCCGCUGUUCUGACGGUACCCAAAGAAUAAGCACCGGCUAACUUCGUG
rnacentral:rRNA from 1 species